rnacentral:rRNA from 1 species
GCUGGUUUCUCAAGAAAAGAAUUUAAGUCCAACCUAAAGUAAACCUUAAUUUAUAUAAAUCACCCCACCACUUUAGAGCAAUUCAAAUGAGGUACAGCCCAUUUGAUACAGAAUACAACCUUAACUAACGGGUAAUAUAAUGAUACAACUUCAAGUGGGCCUAAGAGCAGCCACCUAUUAUAAAAGCGUCAAAGCUUAAUCACGUUACCACUAAUUCCAAAUUUUCUAUCGACCCCUUUAAUCAUAUUGAGAAAUUCUAUAAUACAUAGAACCUUUUAUGCUAAAACUAGUAACAAGAGAUAUACCCUCUCUUAAUGCAAACACAAGCCAGCAAGAACCCGUCACUGGCAACUAACAGACCUAAACAAAAAUAGCAACCUCACUAGAAAACCCUACUCCUUUUUAACUGUUAACCUGACACUAGAGCAUUUCAAGAAAGAUUAAAAGAAAAAGAAGGAACUCGGCAAACAUUAAUCCCGCCUGUUUACCAAAAACAUCGCCUCUUGAUUUCAUAAGAGGUCAAGCCUGCCCAGUGACCCUGUUCAACGGCCGCGGUAUUCUAACCGCGCAAAGGUAGCGUAAUCACUUGUUUUCUAAAUAAAGACCAGUAUGAAAGGCAUCACGAGGACAAAACUGUCUCCUUUUCUCAAUCAGUGAACCUAAUCUCCCCGUGAAGAAGCGGGGAUUACCCUAUAAGACGAGAAGACCCUAUGGAGCUUAAAACAUCACACAUUUGCCCCCACCACCAACCACCCCGGUCUGUCACUAAUAUGGCACUUUGAUUUUAUGUUUUCGGUUGGGGUGACCGCGGAGAAAAACUUAUCCUCCGCGAUGGAAGGGACUUCCCCCCUAAACAACAAGCUACAGCUUUAUGUAUCAACAAAUUGACACUCAUUGACCCAAUAAAUUGAUUAACGAACCAAGUUACCCUAGGGAUAACAGCGCAAUCCACUUUAAGAGCUCCUAUCGACAAGUGGGCUUACGACCUCGAUGUUGGAUCGGGGUAUCCUAGUGGUGCAGCCGCUACUAAAGGUUCGUUUGUUCAACGAUUAAAACCCCACGUGAUCUGAGUUCAGACCGGAGUAAUCCAGGUCAGUUUCUAUCUAUAGAGAGCUCUUUUCAGUACGAAAGGACCAAAAUAGCAUGGCCAAUGUCCUUCACAAACCAUAGUAAAUCACUUUAGAACCCCACUCAAAAAUUAUUAACCUACCCCUUCACUUCAAGAAAA